GAAACGACUGCUAAGACUGGAUAGGAGAUAAGAAGGCAUCUUUUUAUUUUUAAAGACCUAGCAAUAGGUAUGCUUAGGGAAGAGCUUGCGUCACAUUAGUUAGUUGGUGGGGUAAUGGCCUACCAAGACGAUGAUGUGUAGCCGGGCUGAGAGGUCGAACGGCCACAUUGGGACUGAGACACGGCCCAAACUCCUACGGGAGGCAGCAGUAAGGAAUUUUCGGCAAUGGAGGAAACUCUGACCGAGCAAUGCCGCGUGAACGAUGAAGUAUUUCGGUACGUAAAGUUCUUUUAUUAGGGAAGAAAAGAUGGUGGAAAAACCAUUAUGACGGUACCUAAUGAAUAAGCCCCGGCUAACUAUGUGCCAGCAGCCGCGGUAAUACAUAGGGGGCAAGCGUUAUCCGGAAUUAUUGGGCGUAAAGGGUGCGUAGGCGGUUAAAUAAGUUUAUGGUCUAAGUGCAACGCUCAACGUUGUGAUGCUAUAAAAACUGUUUAGCUAGAGUUGGAUAGAGGCAAGUGGAAUUCCGUGUGUAGUGGUAAAAUGCGUAAAUAUACGGAGGAACACCAGAAGCGAAGGCGGCUUGCUGGGUCUUAACUGACGCUGAGGCACGAAAGCGUGGGGAGCAAACAGGAUUAGAUACCCUGGUAGUCCACGCCCUAAACGAUGAGUACUAAACGUUGGAUAAAACCAGUGUUGAAGUUAACACAUUAAGUACUCCGCCUGAGUAGUACGUACGCAAGUAUGAAACUUAAAGGAAUUGACGGGACUCCGCACAAGCGGUGGAUCAUGUUGUUUAAUUCGAAGGUACCCGAAAAACCUCACCAGGUCUUGACAUGCUUUUGCAAAGCUGUAGAAAUACAGUGGAGGUUAUCAGAAGCACAGGUGGUGCAUGGUUGUCGUCAGCUCGUGUCGUGAGAUGUUGGGUUAAGUCCCGCAACGAGCGCAACCCUUGUUGUUAAUUGCCAUCAUUAAGUUGGGGACUUUAGCAAGACUGCCAAUGAUAAAUUGGAGGAUGGUGGGGACGACGUCAAAUCAUCAUGCCCCUUAUGACCUGGGCUACAAACGUGAUACAAUGGCUGUUACAAAGGGUAGCUAAAGCGUAAGCUUCUGGCGAAUCUCAAAAAAGCAGUCUCAGUUCGGAUUGAAGUCUGCAACUCGACUUCAUGAAGUUGGAAUCGCUAGUAAUCGCGAAUCAGCAUGUCGCGGUGAAUACGUUCUCGGGGUUUGUACACACCGCCCGUCA
rnacentral:rRNA from 1 species